UCAUCCUGUCUGUUAAGGAUCUCCAUGUGACUGUCCUUCAGACGGAGAUAGGUGAAGCCCAACCUGAACAGCGGUUAUUCACAAACAACAAACUCACCUUUCCAUCUAGGCCUGGAGAGGAGUCGAUCAUAUCCAUUCCAGCAGCUCCAGUGCCAGUCUUGUCUGUGAAGACAUAUUCCACCUGUGAUGGAAAAAGAAGAGAGACAGUGAACCAAUAAUGACCCAGGGAGC